UACGUAGGGGGCAAGCGUUGUCCGGAUUUAUUGGGCGUAAAGAGCGUGUAGGCGGCCAUGUAGGUCCGUUGUGAAAACUCGAGGCUCAACCUCGAGACGCCGAUGGAAACCAUGUGGCUAGAAUCCGGAAGAGGAGAGUGGAAUUCCUGGUGUAGCGGUGAAAUGCGCAGAUAUCAGGAAGAACACCCGUGGCUAAGGCGGCUCUCUAGUACGGUACUGACGCUGAGACGCGAAAGCGUGGGGAGCGAACAGG
rnacentral:rRNA from 1 species